rnacentral:rRNA from 1 species
GACGAACGCUGGCGGCGUGCUUAACACAUGCAAGUCGAACGAAGUGGCGAACGGGUGAGUAACGCGUAAUCCACCUGCCCUUCAGAGGGGGACAACAGUAGGAAACGACUGCUAAUACCGCAUACUGAAGGAGGUGAUUGCGUGUGAUUAGCUAGUUGGAGGGGUAACGGCCCACCAAGGCGAGGAUCAGUAGCCGGGCUGAGGGGGUGGACGGGCAAAUUGGGACUGGGACACGGCCCAGACUCCUACGGGGGGCAGCAGUGGGGAAUCUUCCGCAAUGGACGACAGUCUUACUGAGCAACGCCGCGUGAGUGGUGACGGCCUUUGGGUUGGAAAGCUAUGUUAAUCGGGACGCGGUACCGGAAGAGAAAGCCACGGCUAACUACGUGCCAGCAGCCGCGGUAAUAC